GAUGAACGCUGGCGGCGUGCCUAAUACAUGCAAGUCGAGCGAACAGACGAGGAGCUUGCUCCUUCGACGUUAGCGGCGGACGGGUGAGUAACACGUAGGUAACCUACCUAUAAGACUGGGAUAACUUCGGGAAACCGGAGCUAAUACCGGAUAAUAUUUCGAACCGCAUGGUUCGAUAGUGAAAGAUGGCUUUGCUAUCACUUAUAGAUGGACCUGCGCCGUAUUAGCUAGUUGGUAAGGUAACGGCUUACCAAGGCAACGAUACGUAGCCGACCUGAGAGGGUGAUAGGCCCCACUGGAACUGAGACACGGUCCAGACUCCUACGGGAGGCAGCAGUAGGGAAUCUUCCGCAAUGGGCGAAAGCCUGACGGAGCAACGCCGCGUGAGAGAUGAAGGUCUUCGGAUCGUAAAACUCUGUUAUUAGGGAAGAACAAACGUGUAAGUAACUAAGCACGUCUUGACGGUACCUAAUCAGAAAGCCACGGCUAACUACGUG
rnacentral:rRNA from 1 species